AACGAACGCUGGCGGCAUGCCUAACACAUGCAAGUCGAACGAGACCUUCGGGCCUAUUGGCGCUCCGCUGCGUAACGCGUGGGAACCUGCCCUUAGGUUCGGAAUAACUCCCUGAAAGGGGUUCUAAUACCGGAUAAUGUCUUCGGACCAAAGAUCUAUCGCCUUUGGAUGGGCCCGCGUUGGAUUAGCUAGUUGGUAGGGUAAAAGCCUACCAAGGCGACGAUCCAUAGCUGGUCUGAGAGGAUGAUCAGCCACACUGGGACUGAGACACGGCCCAGAAUCCUACGGGAGGGAGGAGAGGGGAAUAUUGGACAAUGGGGGAAAGCCUGAUACAGCAAUGCCGGGUGAGUGAUGAAGGCGGUAGGGUUGUAAAGCUGUUUUACCCGGGAUGAUAAUGACAGUACCGGGAGAAUAAGCACCGGCUAACUCCGUG
rnacentral:rRNA from 1 species